rnacentral:rRNA from 1 species
CCUACGGGGAGCAGCAGUAGGGAAUCUUCCACAAUGGGCGAAAGCCUGAUGGAGCAACGCCGCGUGGGUGAAGAAGGUCUUCGGAUCGUAAAACCCUGUUGUUAGAGAAGAAAGUGCGUGAGAGUAACUGUUCACGUUUCGACGGUAUCUAACCAGAAAGCCACGGCUAACUACGUGCCAGCAGCCGCGGUAAUACGUGGGUGGCAAGCGUUAUCCGGAUUUAUUGGGCGUAAAGGGAACGCAGGCGGGCUUUUAAGUCUGAUGGGAAAGCCUUCGGCUUAACCGGAGUAGUGCAUUGGAAACUGGGAGACUUGAGUGCAGAAGAGGAGAGUGGAACUCCAUGUGUAGCGGUGAAAUGCGUAGAUAUAUGGAAGAACACCAGUGGCGAAAGCGGCUCUCUGGUCUGUAACUGACGCUGAGGUUCGAAAGCGUGGGUAGCAAACAGGAUUAGAUACCCUUGUAGUC